rnacentral:rRNA from 1 species
GACGAACGCUGGCGGCGUGCCUAACACAUGCAAGUCGAACGAAGCAUUUAAGUGGAUUUCUUCGGGAUGAAGCUUUUAUGACUUAGUGGCGGACGGGUGAGUAACGCGUGAGUAACCUGCCUUUCAGAGGGGGAUAACAGUUGGAAACGACUGCUAAUACCGCAUAACGUAUCGGAACCGCAUGAUUCUGAUACCAAAGCUGAGGCGCUGAAAGAUGGACUCGCGUCUGAUUAGAUAGUUGGUGAGGUAACGGCUCACCAAGUCGACGAUCAGUAGCCGGACUGAGAGGUUGAACGGCCACAUUGGGACUGAGAUACGGCCCAGACUCCUACGGGAGGCAGCAGUGGGGAAUAUUGGGCAAUGGGGGGAAACCCUGACCCAGCAACGCCGCGUGAAGGAAGAAGGGCCCUUCGGGUUGGUAAACGUUACUUUUACCCAGGGUACGAAGAACGU